rnacentral:rRNA from 1 species
UACGCAGGGUAGCAGGUGCUGCCCGGAAUUAUUGGUUGUAAAGAGCUCGGAUGCGGAUUGCCGCGACUGCUGUGAAAAACCCAGAUUCAGACUCCGACCUGCUUUGUGGACUGCGCUUGUUCACUGGGGGACGGUACAUUGGAAUUCCUGCUGUAGCGCUGGAAUGCGCAGAUAUCAGGAGGAACCCCGAUGGCGAAGGCAGAUCUCCGGGCUGUAACUGACGCUGAGGAGCGAAAGCGCGGGGAGCGAACACGAUUAGAUACCCCGGUAGUGCACACCGUAAACGGUGGGAACUAGAUGUGGGGUACCUUCCCCGGACUCCGUGUGGCAGCUAACGCACUAAGUUCGCCUCCUGGGGAGUGCGGCCGCAAGGCUAAAUCUCAAAGGAAUUGACGGGGGCACGCACAAGCGGCGGAGCAUGCGGACUAUAUUAGAUGCAACGCGAAGAACCUUACCAAGGCGGGACAUAUAGAGGAAAAGUGCAGAAAUGCACUCCGCGCAAGGUCUCCAUACAGGUGGUGCAUGGUGGUAGUCAGCUAGUGUCCUGUGAUAAUGGCACAAGUUCCACAUCGACCUCAACCCUAGUCUUAUUAGCCAGCUCUUUAAGGUGGGAACUCAUGGGAUACUGCCGGGGUCAACUCGGAGGAAGGUCGGGAGGACGUCAAAUC